AUUGAACGCUGGCGGCAGGCCUAACACAUGCAAGUCGAACGAGUGGCGGACGGGUGAGUAAUGUCUGGGAAACUGCCUGAUGGAGGGGGAUAACGUCCGGAAACGGGCGCUAAUACAGCAUACUAUCAGAUGAGCCUAGGUCGGAUUAGCUAGUGGGGGGGGUAAAGGCCUACCAAGGCGACGAUCCGUAACGGGUCUGAGAGGAUGACCAGUCACACUGGAACUGAGACACGGUCCAUACUCCUACGGGAGGCAGCAGUGGGGAAUAUUGGACAAUGGGCGAAAGCCUGAGCCAGCCCUGCCGCGUGUGUGAAGAAGGUCUUCGGAUUGUAAAGUACUUUCAGCGGGGAGGCGUUACCCGCAGAAGAAGCACCGGCUAACUCCGUGCCAGCAGCCGCGGUAAUAC
rnacentral:rRNA from 1 species